AGCAGCCGCGGUAAUUCCAGCUCCAAUAGCGUAUAUUAAAGUUGUUGCAGUUAAAAAGCUCGUAGUUGAAUUUCGGGAUUGACACAUCGGUCGUGCCUUAAGGGGUGUGAACUGGUGUAGUCAAUUUCUCACCUUCUGGAGAACCGCGAUGUCCUUAAUUGGGUGCCGCGAGGAACCAGGACCUUUACUUUGAAAAAAUUAGAGUGUUUAAAGCAGGCAUUUUUGCUUGAAUACAUUAGCAUGGAAUAAUAAAAUAGGACGGCAUGAUUCUAUUUUGUUGGUUCUAGGGUCACCGUAAUGAUUAAUAGGGAUAGUUGGGGCAUUAGUAUUCAAUUGUCAGGUAGGUGAAAUUCGUUGGAUUUUAUGAAGACUAACUACUGCGAAAGCAUUUGCCAAGGAUUGUUUUCAUUAAU
rnacentral:rRNA from 1 species